rnacentral:lncRNA from 1 species
GCGGAUUGUUAUAUUUUUAAUUGUUUACAUUAUCUCUUUAUAUAUUGUCAUAAUUUAUUAUUUUUUGUUUUACGUUUUCCUUUUUUGGAUUUGUCGUACUUUAUAUCUCGUAAUGAUCAUUUAUAUACUAUUAUAUAUUUUUCUGAUUUUAUGUUUUAUAUAUUUUUUUUGUUUUUUCAUAUGGAACAAUUUUUGAAUUUAACAUAUUAGUAUAAUUUAC